CUGCACUAUAUAGUUUUUUUUAUAGUUAUGGAUUGUGGUGGUAAUUUGGACACAGCCUAACAUUACAGGUGCAACAAAAAUGGCAGCAAUAUAUCAGAGCUCCCAGACGUUUCUACGUCACAAAGACGAUCUUUUUCAAAUGCAUUUUGUCAUCUGCUCCUCAUUAACAACAAUUUGAAAAACAAAAAACUUGUUAAUGCAACUCUGAGGAUCAGAAAAAAAUCCAUAAAAACAUGUUAAAACAGUAAAAACACUAUUUUCAUUGGAGCGAAAUAAAUAAAAUAAAAUAAAAAAAAGUCUGACUUUUCUAUUGUCCGAGUCGGAGCUUUUAUUGCGAAAAGCCCGAGCGGAAGUUCCACUGCGGGAGCCGCAUGCGGUCCUGACGCAGCGGAGACUCGCUCCUCCCCUCCGGUCCGGUCAGGACGCCUGCGCGUGUUGGCCGCAGCGGAGGAGUAUGUGGAGAACCGGCCUAGCCCGGAACCAGGUCCACGCCAGGAGAGUCCCGCGGCUCGGUCCGGCCCGGAAUGACGGCAGCGGCGGAACCGGGGAGGAAGACCGUUGAGAUCCACGCUUAAGCGUCGCGGGGCGGACGCGCGCCGGACCGCGCGAUGUCUGCGGACGGAGCCACGAUCCGCAGCCGCAUCAAGAACCUGCUGCGCUCCCCGUCCAUCAAGCUGCGCAGGAGCGGCACGCGCCACAAGCGCGACCUCAGCAACAAGGUGACGUUGGAGAAGGUUCUUGGAAUCACAGCGGAGGGGAACCGAGCGUUGGCCUGUGAGCCGCGAUCCGGACUGCUCGCCUAUCCCGCGGGGUGUGUCGUGGUUCUGCUGAAUCCUCGCAAGAACAAGCAGCAUCACAUCUUCAACAGCUCCAGGAAGGCCAUCACCACGCUGGCGUUUUCUCCUGAUGGGAAGUACGUGGUUACCGGAGAGAGCGGUCACAUGCCGGCGGUUCGGGUCUGGGACGUGUCGGACCGUCUUCAGGUGUCGGAGCUGCAGGAGCACAAAUACGGAGUCGCCUGCGUGGCGUUUUCUCCAAACGGCAAAUACAUCGUCAGCGUGGGCUACGAGCACGACAUGAUGGUGAACGUGUGGAACUGGAAGAAAAACGUGGUGGUGGCGGCCAAUAAGGUGUCCAGCAAAGUGACGGCCGUCUCCUUCUCCGACGACAGCUCCUACUUUGUCACCGCCGGCAACCGUCACGUGAAGUUCUGGUACCUGGACCACAACAAGACCUCCAAGGUCAACGCCACCGUCCCCCUGCUGGGGCGUUCAGGGCUGCUCGGUGAGCUCAGGAACAACUUCUUCAGUGAUGUGGCGUGUGGGCGUGGCCGACGCUCCUCCUCCACCUUCUGCAUCACCUCGUCCGGCCUGCUGUGUGAGUUCAACGAGCGCCGGCUCCUGGACAAGUGGGUGGAGCUUCGGAAAGUCGACUCUGCCUCCACGUCCCAGGCCACCUGUCUGUCCGUCACAGAGGAGUUCAUCUUCUGCGGAUGCUCCGAUGGGACGGUUCGAGCCUUCAGCCCCGUCAACCUGCACUUCCUCUGCACUCUGCCCCGCCCCCACUCUCUGGGCGCUGACAUCGCCAGCAUGGUUGAUGCCAGUCAGCUGUUCUCCUCUGGAGCGGACGCUCGGUACCCGGACAGCGUGGCCGUGACCUACGACCCGACCAAUCACUGGCUGUCCUGCGUCUAUAACGACCACAGCGUCUACGUCUGGGACGUUCGAGACCUCCAGGACCUCCGGAGAGCGGGGAAGCUCUACUCAGCGCUGUACCACUCGUCCUGCGUGUGGAGCCUGGAGGUCUCCACAGACGGAGCAGCAGAAGGGGAGAGGCUCCUCCCCCCUGGCUCCUUCCUGUCCUGCUCCUCGGACAACACCAUCCGGCUGUGGAACAUCGACGGGCACGGCGCCCUCCACAGGAACAUCCUGAGCCACGACCUGAAGAAAGUCAUUUACGUGGACGAUAACGUCAGCACCCUCCUGGACGGUGAGAACAUCACCAACACAGAGAAGGCGGGGCCACCGGAGGGCCAGCAGGCGGAGCAGAUCCGGACGGGCAUCCGGGCUCUGAGAGUCAGUCCGGACGGACAGCACCUGGCGUCCGGGGACCGCAUGGGAGUCCUCAGGAUCCACGAUCUGGACAGCAUGGAGGAGAUCCUGAACGUUCAGGCUCACGACUCGGAGAUCCUCUGCCUGGAGUUCUCCAAACCCGACACAGGUCUGCAGCUGUUAGCCACUGCCAGCCGGGACCGCCUGAUCCACGUCCUGGAUGCGGGCCGGGACUACAGCCUGGUCCAGACUCUGGACGAACACUCGUCCUCCAUCACCGCCGUCAGAUUUGCUGCCAGUGAGGGGAAGGUGCGCAUGAUCAGCUGCGGCGCCGAUAAGAGCGUGUACUUUCGCUCAGCCCAGCAGACGGAGGAGGGGCUAGAGUUCAUCCGGACGCAUCACAUCGUCCGGAAGACGACUCUGUACGACAUGGACGUGGAGCCCACCAGGAAGUACGCCGCUGUGGGCUGUCAGGACCGCAACAUUCGGAUCUUCAACGUCAGUAACGGCAAACAGAAGAAGGUGUACAAAGGCUCCCAGGGGGAGGAUGGGACCAUCAUUAAGGUGCACAUCGACCCGUCAGGACUCUACAUCGCCACCUCCUGCUCAGACAAGAACAUCAGCAUCUUCGACUUCUUCUCUGGAGAAUGUGUGGCCACCAUGUUUGGACACUCGGAGAUCAUCACCGGGCUGAAGUUCAGCAGCGACUGCAAAUACCUGAUCACCGUUUCAGGAGACAGCUGCAUCUUCGUGUGGCGUUUGAGUCCCGAGCUGACCAUCAGGAUGAGGCAGAGACUCGCUGACCUGAAACCUCGCAGCAGCGUUCCUCACCGCCAGAACGCACCUCAGCAGAGAGCUGCCAAACUCAGCAAGACUCCGCCCCCCUGCGUCGACAUGAUGUCAUCCGACAGCAACGGCGAGGAGGAAGAGGAAGAGGAGCAGCCCCGCCCUUACAUGGAAACAGCAGGAUGUGUGAAGGAGGCAGAGAUGUUCAGCAGAGACGACGGGAAGAACGACUCGACGGCUCAACUCCCUCGGCGGCGCUGGUCGAGCCGGACGGCGAGCUCCGACAGCGUCCUGAUGGUCAAGUCCAUGUUUGACCUGAGGAUGCUGGACUCCUUCAGUCCAGACGUCAGUGAGGAGCAGGAGGAGGUGAAGACACGCCCCCACCCCGACUUCAGUCCCAAGAGGAGGACUCCUGCUGUGGAGGCGCAGCUUCACCGGCCCGGCCAGGAUCUGCAGAGCACCACCAGCCUGCAGGUGGCGUGGGUAGAUGACGAGUCAAAGAGCAGCCAACGGCCAGACUUCAUCCUGCUGUCCAAUCAGAGCCUGAACAGGGAGGAGCCUGUUCUGUUUCCUGACCAAUGGGAGGACAGAGUGAGCUUAGUGAGCAGUGAGUUUCAGGUGAAGGAGGUGUGUCCUACAGAAGGCGGGAACCUGGAAAAGCCCAGUCCGGACAGCGGGUGCUCCCUGGGCUUCAGCUCUGUCCUGUCCAGCCCGGAAAGACCUGCUGGAGACGACACAGAACCCACAGAACCUCUGAGCGAGGACGGGAACUCCUCCGAGCUGGAGAUGGAGGAGGAGGAAGGAAGGCAAAGACGGGAAGGAGCAGGAGCGUCUCGGGAUGUUCCUCAGACUCCAGACCAGGAGGCGUUCCUGAAGGAGAACUUUGUCACUUUGGCUGACCCGUCCGCCUCAGGAAGUCCCAGCAGAACCUCUCACAGCUCCAGCGAGAGUCUCAGUAUCUCCUCCAGGUUCCUCCACCAGAGUUCAUCUGCCAGCCGGGCCGGGCUUCUCCUCCCAACACGGAUCACAGAGGGAGGAGAAGAGGGGUUGAAGGUCCAUCUCCCCGUCUCUGAGGUCCGGCCCCUGAUGGACAGAAACCAUAGCAGGAUAAACCAGAACCAGGACCAACCAGUGCUGGUUCAGGUGCAGAAACCAAACCAGCAUGGACCAGAUCCACCUCAACAGCAGGAGGCGCAAGAGGAGAGCUCCUCCAGUCGCUCCACCUUAAAGAAGAAGGUCCAAACUGAGGUGGAACCCAGGAGGAACUUGGUUCUGCCAACCCACCAGAACCAAGGACUCCACAAGGCUCAGUCGGUCAACAGCCUGCUGGCGGACGCCGCAGGUGAGAUGUCCGACUCUCUGAUUGGUCGUCCAUCCAGAGAGGUCGCCCCCCAGCGGCCCACCACCCUCCCCUCCUCCCUCAGACGACCUCCAUCAACGGCGCCACAGACUCUUAAACCAAACUCCGCCUCCUCGCCCCGAUCCCCCCUGCAGGAGAGCGCUGCUGUCACGUUGAGGAAGUCCUCCUCCUCCUCCUCCUCGGCUGUAGCGACUCCCCGCUCCUACAUGAGCCCCACGGCGAGCUCCAUGGCGAAGAUUUCCCGCUCCGUCUCCAUGGGAGACAGCCUCAACGUCCUCGAACCGCCCGACGCCGUGACGUCACCGCUGUUAGCGCCAAACACUCCUGCCGUACAGCCUAAAGAAGCCCCGCCUACGAAUGUUCCCACUGGAAACUCUGCUGCACUUCCAGCCACGCCCCCCCACGCUGCCGUCAUUCCAGUCGUCGUCUCGUCAGUGUCCUCAGCUGCUGGUAACCACGGCAACAGGGCGGGGCCUGCCUCCCGCAGCCUCCAGGCUCGAAUCCCCGGCAGCAGCAGGCCGCUCCCCGACAGACCCUCCCUCGACGCCUUCGCUCCUCCCACCAAGGUGUCUGUCUCCCACCCAGGCUCCGCCUCCCUCCUUGUGACACCCAAGCAGGAGGAGGAGCCUCAGAACGCCACAGGUGGAGAUUCAGAGAAUGGAGGCGACAAAGAACAACCAAUCAGUGUGGAGACCUGCAGGGCUCUGGCCAAUGAGCUGCAGAGCUGCUUUAAGAGAGCGACGCACCUUUACAGGAAGGUAAGCAGCUUCUCUCCGGAGGAUUCCACCUCCAUCCAGUGCCAGGUGUCUCUCCUCCUAUCGGAGGCCUUUCGGGCCAUGAGGGCGGAGCUGGACUCUCUACCGCUGGGCUCCCCGAGCAUGCUGGGAGGCGCGGAGGAGGUCAGGACCGCCGCUCUGCUGGAGGAGUACUCCCUGCUGCUCCUGCAGGCCGUCAACAAGAGGAUCAACAGCAGCUGAUCUCCUGCUGCUCCUCUAUGACUGAAGGAUCUGGAUCCGCUUAAAGUGAAUAAAAAACAGAUUCUGACCUCCUGCAGAUCUCCUCUUCAUUCCUCCCUCACCAGCUCCAUCCUCACCUCCAUCCGCUGAAUGACUCACACUCGCAGCCUUUCGCUGUCAGACCCUUAAAGACGAUUUCCUUCUCCUCAGUCUUAAGUCUUCUGGUUGUUGUUGGAUCGUAGUAACUUAGACUUUUUUACGGAGCAAACAGCAAUACGAGAACCUUUGUGAACAAACGACCUUCAUUCCUUGACCUGAUGAGGAUUUUCUUCCACUUGAAACGUUCGGCAUGAUUUAAUAACACUUUGUAUUUAUUGUGUGGAUGAGUUGUUAUGCUACUGGAACUGCUCUUUUGAAGCCUCCAUUUGGACCUGAACGCACAUUUUGAUAACCUCGGUUUGACACUUUUGGAGCCUGUUGUUGAAUCAGGAAACUUUGAUCACACUGAAACUCAAAGAUUAGUUUGUUUUCUGUCACUUUUAGUAAAAACUUUUCCAUUGA